rnacentral:rRNA from 1 species
AGCAGUAGCCGCGGUAAUACGUAGGGUGCGAGCGUUAAUCGGAAUUACUGGGCGUAAAGCGUGCGCAGGCGGUUGUGUAAGACAGGUGUGAAAUCCCCGGGCUUAACCUGGGAACUGCGCUUGUGACUGCACAGCUAGAGUAUGGCAGAGGGGGGUGGAAUUCCACGUGUAGCAGUGAAAUGCGUAGAGAUGUGGAGGAACACCGAUGGCGAAGGCAGCCCCCUGGGCCAAUACUGACGCUCAUGCACGAAAGCGUGGGAGCAAACAGGAUUAGAUACCCGUGUAGUCCCUGUCUCUUAUACA